CCUACGGGAGACAGCAGUGAGGAAUAUUGGUCAAUGGCCGGAAGGCUGAACCAGCAAUGCCGCGUGAAGGUCAGUGCCCUAUGGGCGUUAAACUUCUUUUGUGCGGGAGCAAUAAUGGUCACGUGUGGCCAGACGAGAGUACCGUACGAAUAAGCAUCGGCUAACUCCGUGCCAGCAGCCGCGGUAAUACGGGGGAUGCAAGCGUUAUCCGGAUUUAUUGGGUUUAAAGGGUGCGUAGGCUGUGAGGUAAGUCAGCGGGGAAAUGCCCCCGCUCAACGGGGUGAAGUGCCAUUGAUACUGCCUUGCUGGAAUGCGGAUGCCGUGGGAGGAAUGUGUGGUGUAGCGGUGAAAUGCAUAGAUAUCACACAGAACACCGAUUGCGAAGGCAUCUCACGAAUCCGCGAUUGACGCUGAUGCACGAAAGCGUGGGUAUCAAACAGGAUUAGAUACCCUGGUAGUC
rnacentral:rRNA from 1 species